rnacentral:lncRNA from 1 species
UUUAUACAAAUUGAUGAAGUCGCAUCAUCAGAAUAGUUUAAUUUUCUUCUUGUCUUAAUCCUAAUCCUAAGGUUUAAUUAUUAUAAUAUUGAUAAAGUUAGAUAACACGUGUUGCAACUUGCAAUUAAAUGGAAGUGGGCAGAAAGAAAAGAUGACGAUUGUUUUGUUCACGAGAGUCUGGAGAAAACAUGUGACCACACAUACAUUUCUUUUUGACUACAUACAUUUUUAUUUUACGAGAAAUGUGACCACAUACAUUUUCUUUUGAGGCAAUGGCCACAUACACAUAGUGCUUUCAAAUUUGAAUAGUUUCAUUUACAAAUAGACCAAACAUCAUUUUGCUCCUUCACAUUUCUAUACCGCGCA